CCAGAAACGGCCACGUCCAGUUCUACAGUGGGCGGGACUUCUGUGAAUACGCAUGCCCCAGACCCUGCUUUUACCCCAGUUCCAGAUAAAACCAACCC